rnacentral:rRNA from 1 species
ACGAACGCUGGCGGCGUGCUUAACACAUUCAAGUCGAACGGAAAGGCCCUGCUUUUGUGGGGUGCUCGAGUGGCGAACGGGUGAGUAACACGUGAGUAACCUGCCCUUGACUUUGGGAUAACUUCAGGAAACUGGGGCUAAUACCGGAUAGGAGCUCCUGCUGCAUGGUGGGGGUUGGAAAGUUUCGGCGGUUGGGGAUGGACUCGCGGCUUAUCAGCUUGUUGGUGGGGUAGUGGCUUACCAAGGCUUUGACGGGUAGCCGGCCUGAGAGGGUGACCGGCCACAUUGGGACUGAGAUACGGCCAAGACUCCUACGGGAGGCAGCAGUGGGGAAUAUUGCACAAUGGGCGGAAGCCUGAUGCAGCAACGCCGCGUGCGGGAUGACGGCCUUCGGGUUGUAAACCGCUUUCGCCUGUGACGAAGCGUGAGUGACGGUAAUGGGUAAAGAAGCACCGGCUAACUACGUG